UUACGGGAGGCAGCAGUGGGGAAUUUUGGACAAUGGGCGCAAGCCUGAUCCAGCCAUGCCGCGUGCGGGAAGAAGGCCUUCGGGUUGUAAACCGCUUUUGUUCGGGAAGAAAUUGACUGGGCUAAUACCCCGGUUAGAUGACGGUACCGGAAGAAUAAGCACCGGCUAACUACGUGCCAGCAGCCGCGGUAAUACGUAGGGUGCGAGCGUUAAUCGGAAUUACUGGGCGUAAAGCGUGCGCAGGCGGUUUCGCAAGUCAGAUGUGAAAGCCCCGGGCUCAACCUGGGAACUGCAUUUGAAACUACGAAGCUAGAGUGUGUCAGAGGGGGGUAGAAUUCCACGUGUAGCAGUGAAAUGCGUAGAGAUGUGGAGGAAUACCAAUGGCGAAGGCAGCCCCCUGGGAUAACACUGACGCUCAUGCACGAAAGCGUGGGGAGCAAACAGGAUUAGAUACCCUGGU
rnacentral:rRNA from 1 species